AAUUUUGCCAUGUGCAGGGCCGGCUCCAGGUUCAUGUGGGCCCUUGGGCGAUAAAUCCCAGUGGGCCCCCUUGAGGCAUUUUUGUACAUUUACAUGUCCCUCUGUGGCUCCCACAUGGUAUAAUGACCACCAGUGACCACUAUACAGUAUAAUGACCACUA